AUUGAACGCUGGCGGCAGGCCUAACACAUGCAAGUCGAACGAGUGGCGGACGGGUGAGUAAUGUCUGGGAAACUGCCCGAUGGAGGGGGCUAACUACUGGAAACGGUAGCUAAUACCGCAUACCAUCGGAUGUGCCCAGAUGGGAUUAGCGAGUAGGUGGGGUAACGGCUCACCUAGGCGACGAUCCCUAGCUGGUCUGAGAGGAAGACAAGCAACACUGGAACGUAGAAACGGUCCAGACACCUACGGUAGGCAGUGGUGGGGAUGAUUGCACAAGGGGGGCAAGCCUGAUGCAGCCAUGCCGGGUGUAUGAAGAGGGCCUUCGGGUUGGAAAGGACUUUCAGCGAUGAGGCGUUACUCGCAGAAGAAGCACCGGCUAACUCCGUGCCAGCAGCCGCGGUAAUUC
rnacentral:rRNA from 1 species